rnacentral:rRNA from 1 species
UGACAGGUGGUGCAUGGUUGUCGUCAGCUCGUGUCGUGAGAUGUUGGGUUAAGUCCCGCAACGAGCGCAACCCUUAAGCUUAGUUGCCAUCAUUAAGUUGGGCACUCUAAGUUGACUGCCGGUGACAAACCGGAGGAAGGUGGGGAUGACGUCAAAUCAUCAUGCCCCUUAUGAUUUGGGCUACACACGUGCUACAAUGGACAAUACAAAGGGCAGCUAAACCGCGAGGUCAAGCAAAUCCCAUAAAGUUGUUCUCAGUUCGGAUUGUAGUCUGCAAC